rnacentral:rRNA from 1 species
GAGUUUGAUCUGGCUCAGAUUGAACGCUGGCGGCAUGCCUUACACAUGCAAGUCGAACGGCAGCACGGGAGCUUGCUCCUGGUGGCGAGUGGCGAACGGGUGAGUAAUGCAUCGGAACGUAUCCUGGAGUGGGGGAUAACGUAGCGAAAGUUACGCUAAUACCGCAUAUUCUGUGAGCAGGAAAGCGGGGGACCUUCGGGCCUCGCGCUCUUGGAGCGGCCGAUGUCGGAUUAGCUAGUUGGUGAGGUAAAGGCUCACCAAGGCGACGAUCCGUAGCAGGUCUGAGAGGAUGAUCUGCCACACUGGAACUGAGACACGGUCAGACUCCUACGGGAGGCAGCAGUGGGAAUUUUGGACAAUGGGGGCGAACCCUGAUCCAGCCAUGCCGCGUGAGUGAAGAAGGCCUCGGUUG